AUUGAACGCUGGCGGCAUGCCUUACACAUGCAAGUCGAACGGCAGCACGGGACCUUGCUCCUGGUGGCGAGUGGCGAACGGGUGAGUAAUACAUCGGAACGUACCCUGAAGUGGGGGGAUAACGUAGCGAAAGUUACGCUAAUACCGCAUAUUCUGUGAGCAGGAAAGAGGGGGGAUCGCAAGACCUCUUGCUUUAGGAGCGGCCGAUGUCGGAUUAGCUAGUUGGUGAGGUAAAGGCUCACCAAGGCGACGAUCCGUAGCGGGUCUGAGAGGAUGAUCCGCCACACUGGGACUGAGACACGGCCCAGACUCCUACGGGGGCAGCAGUGGGGAAUUUUGGACAAUGGGCGCAAGCCUGAUCCAGCCAUGCCCGCGUGAGUGAAGAAGGCCUUGGGUUGUAAAGG
rnacentral:rRNA from 1 species